AUUGAACGCUGGCGGCAGGCCUAACACAUGCAAGUCGAACGAGUGGCGGACGGGUGAGUAAUGUCUGGGAAACUGCCUGAUGGAGGGGGAUAACUACUGGAAACGGUAGCUAAUACCGCAUACCAUCAGAUGUGCCCAGAUGGGAUUAGCUUGUUGGUGGGGUAACGGCUCACCAAGGCGACGAUCCCUAGCUGGUCUGAGAGGAUGACCAACCCACCUGGGACUUGGGCCAGGUCCCGUAUCCCUCGGGGGGGAACAGUGGGGAAUAUUGCACAAUGGGCGCAAGCCUGAUGCAGCCAUGCCGCGUGUAUGAAGAAGGCCUUCGGGUUGUAAAGUACUUUCAGCGGGGAGGCGUUACCCGCAGAAGAAGCACCGGCUAACUCCGUGCCAGCAGCCGCGGUAAUUC
rnacentral:rRNA from 1 species